GACGAACGCUGGCGGCGUGCUUAACACAUGCAAGUCGAACGGAAAGGCCCUGCUUUUGUGGGGUGCUCGAGUGGCGAACGGGUGAGUAACACGUGAGUAACCUGCCCUUGACUUUGGGAUAACUUCAGGAAACUGGGGCUAAUACCGGAUAGGAGCUCCUGCUGCAUGGUGGGGCUUGGAAAGUUUCGGCGGUUGGGGAUGGACUCGCGGCUUAUCAGCUUGUUGGUGGGGUAGUGGCUUACCAAGGCUUUGACGGGUAGCCGGCCUGAGAGGGUGACCGGCCACAUUGGGACUGAGAUACGGCCCAGACUCCUACGGGAGGCAGCAGUGGGGAAUAUUGCACAAUGGGCGGAAGCCUGAUGCAGAAACGCCGCGUGCGGGAUGACGGCCUUCGGGUUGUAAACCGCUUUCGCCUGUGACGAAGCGUGAGUGACGGUAAUGGGUAAAGAAGCACCGGCUAACUACGUG
rnacentral:rRNA from 1 species